AUUGUACUAAGAAUUUUGACCCACGCAAUUAACAUCAUAUAAAUGAAAAUGUAUUUAUUGCUUUUAAUAAGUUUUUAGCAUCAAAUUUAGCUUCAGCAGAUAAUGCUUCUCGAUUUAAUAAACCAAACACUUUAAUGAAGUCAGACAAUUGUAAGUUUAAUGCUCUGACUGAUUUCUGGUUUGAAGACCACCUUAUGUUACUGUGACCCUUUAAAGAUAAAUGAAAGAUGUCCAUUAAAAUAUCCCAUCUUUGAAUGGAACUAGAAAAAAAAUUAAAUAACUUUUGUAUGAUUAAAAAAAAAAAAAAAGGCUUCUAUGCAUGAAUAAAAACUGUUAAUAUAUCCACUUAUUAUUUAGUAAUUUGGUACCCACGACCAAAACUUUUGGGGAAGGAG